UUUAACAUAUUAAAAUUAACGAGAGAUACAAAAUUAUGCAUAUGUAACUGACUAAAAAUAACAACAAAUACAUAAUUAUGUAUGUGUAAUGACUAAAAAUAACAAGAAAUACAAAAUUAUCCUUAUGUAACAGUUCAAGGUAAAAGAGAUACAAUAAUUUCCUCUUCUCUAUCAAAACACUCAAAAUCACUGCAAUCAAUGCGUAAUUUUUAUGUAUCAGCAACACAUAUCUCAUUCUGUAUAUAAAUUAUAUAUAUAAUUUUUGUCAUAUUUUCAAACAGAUUCAUCAUUAUAAUGUAUCUCCUUUGAAUAAAUCUCAAGUAUAUUAAUGUAUCUGAUUACAACGAAUCUCCUCUAUCCGUCUUGUGGCAUCAAAAGCUAAAUCGAUUUCCACCAUUGAUGGUAGUGAUGUCGUGGCGUUGGUGGUUGAUUGGAUAUUGUAGAAGUUUAUGUUGUUGAUGGUGAAAAAUUGGAUGAAUAAAGGUUGGUGUGGAAAAAAGAUGGAAAAUCCAUUGUUGGUGGUGAUGUCGUGGUGGUGGUGAUUGAAAAAACUAUUGCAUCUUGUAUAGGAGGUGGCUAUUUAUAUCUCACUUUUUCGGUCUAUGGAGAUUGAGAAAUUGAAGAUGUAGUGGAAUGAG
rnacentral:lncRNA from 1 species